CAAAAAGCCCAGAUAUGCAGAAUUAGGCUUUGUAUUUAAAAAAGGCUUUAGUAAGCAUCCUCUUCACACCCCAGAUAACCCUAAAAUGCAUGACUUCAGGAGUACCCACUUAUAGCAGAUAUUUGCCAAAAUAGACUAAACGACAGUAUUGGAGUUUCUGAUUAUAUAUUGCUUGUAAGGAGUGUGUCAAACGUGCAUGCUACACAUUGUGCCUAGAGAGAUUGAUGUUUUGUCAUCCACCUGCUUCAAAGCUGUAAAACCUGCAGCUGCAAAAGAAAACCUACCCAGCUACAAAAUCUAAACAAAGAAAUGUUAGUGGGAUGUUUACAUUUCUGUGGAGGAAUAUCUCAGAUUCAAUGAUGUGAUGGAAAAAUGGUUUUAGGAUUACAGAGCCUGCGAAAGGAAGAUGCUUCAGAAGAAAAACAAAAAAAAGGAAAUGUGCACUCAACGUUAAGAGAACAGAAGACUAAAACCGACAAAUUCCCCAAGAAAUGAAAGACCUGCAGAGCAACAAGAACCUGUUACACCUUUCACCUUGGUUCCAUGGCCUGGUUGCUUGUGAAGAAGUCCAAGCCCAAAACAUGGACCCGCAUCUAUGGUUUCGACUUUCUUGCUUGGACCUCUGGAAAGAUGUCUGUGAUAUGAAGACAAAAAAUAAGUCUGCCUGGCCCAAAGUAUUGCCGGGUAUCCAACCAGACCAACUAAUCACUUUUUAACACCUCUCCAGAUAAGAUGGAGAAAUGUUUUAAUUAAACUAUAUUCAAGGAAAUAAACAACAUACAAAACCAGCAGAAGAAUCAUGUCCAGGUAGAAGGAGAAUGGGGUCCGUUGGAUGUGGAAAGCAGCUUUCCAGGUGUUUACCAAAGGUCCGUAUUUCCAGGAAAUUACAAAAUAUCUCUCCUCAAUACUGAAACUAGAAAUUC
rnacentral:lncRNA from 1 species